rnacentral:lncRNA from 1 species
GUAGCGCCUCCGCUGAGGGACCCGGCGGGAACAAACCGCCGCCGCGGCGGGAGCUGGGCUCGAGUGGCCGGAGGCGGGCCCUUGUCUUCGCCGCCGCUCCUGCACCCUGUGCUCCCUGAAGCCGCCGCCUUCAGAACGCUCAGCCCCUGGAUGUUAAGGCUCACUCGGGCGCCAGCCGCAGCCAGGGAAGUGGCGGCGGUCCCCACCCGUCCUCUCCCCAAGGCGGCGCCCGGGCCACCGGGCCGAAGCGCAGUGGGAGCGCGAGGCUGAGACGCCGGGACCCACGCCGCCCCAGCGCGGCCCGCCGGCGCCCACCCGAGCCCGCACGGCUUCCAGCCCGAGGGGAGACGCAUUCGAGUGAUCACCAGGAGCGAACUUGGCGCCCGCAGCCUUGGGCCUGGGAGAGGUGAGAUUGCGGCGGCGCCCUCUCCUCCCUCCGCUGUCGGGCCCGCCACCCCUCUCCGCGCGGAGAGGCCGGGCAGAGCGCCGGCCGCUGUGGCCGCGUUCCCGGGGCGCGGGCCGGUCUACUGCUCCGAGUUUGCCUGUUCUCCGACCCUCUGGAUCUCGGCAUCCGUUUGUCUCAGUCUCUGUGACUAUCUCACUCUCCGUGAGUCUCUGUGGAAACGGCAUUUGUCUGGAUGUCUGUUCAUGGGUCUGGGAAUCCGCUUAAUUUCUCCCUCCCCUCUCCCUGGCCCCAGUUGCCCUGAGGACUGGACACCCCCCACCUUCCUGGCUCCCAGGGUUCUGGGCCCCACCGACAGGCGGCAGGACCUCCUCCGCCCCCUGCCCGACACCCCCUCAGUGAACCCUGACCUCCACCAAGUGUUGCCUUCAUCUCUCAAAAGUCUUGUGCAACUAAGGUUGGCCCUGUGCCUUGUUUCUCGCUAGCCGGGUUCCUGCCCAUCCUAUUAGACCUCUUUCUCCCCCGGCCUCCCUCCAGGACCCAGAAACAAGCAGCUUCAACACAGAUUGGGCCCAUUUCAGCCUCUGGGGCACGGAAGGGGAGAUGGGCGCUGGACGUGAGCAGGAACUGAGCGGAUGCCUGGGCUGCUGCCCCGACAGCGCCGCACAGUGGCUAAAGCUCGGGCGUGCGAGGCCGGAAUCCCAGCUGCCUCCGCUGUAGCAAGGCUGUGUGACCCUCAUUAGGUGACUUCCCCGCUUCGGAGCCUCAGUUUCCUGGUCUGCAUAGUAGUUAAGAGCAGCGACCUUAAGUCAGGCUCCUGGGGUUCCAAUCCUGCCUUCACUACUUACCCUAUCUGUCACCUUGGGCAAGGUUCUUUGCGCUUUGUUUCUGCCUUUGUAAAAAUGAGGCUAGUAACACCUACCUCAGAACUGAUGUAUAAGUGUAGCCAUAUUCUAGGCCAUUUAGGAAAGGGUACUGAGAACACUUUGCAGUUUCAUCUAACAGCAGCCUCCAAUCUACGGGAUAGCCUGGUGUUAAUCCAACUCUCCCAUUCCACAGAUGGAGCUACAGAGGCCCAGGAUAGGGAGAAAGAACUCACCCAGGCUCCUGCAAAGAAAUAGAACAGAGUUGGGUUGCAACCCUUUUCACAGAAUCCUCAAAAUAGAGUUCUUCAUCCCCCCAAGGUAAGGGCAGAAAAAAAUGGAAGGCAGGUCUGACUACUCAUGUCCUUUGAGAGGAAGUCGCCUGGGCCCCCUCUGGGACCUCUGACCAAGGGGAUCCAUUUAAUGUGCUGUUCCAGCAUAAACUGUCAUUGGAAAAAAGAGAAAUCUCGUCCUCAAACCAUGGACAGCAAAUUGGACAGGGACUAGUAGCCCUGGAAUUGGAAUUUCCUGGGUGACAGACUGUCCGGGGAAAAAGGUCUUGGAGAGAAGCUUCUUGCAUGAGUCCAAGGAAACUCACAUACCUAGGGUUGCUAGAUUUAGCAGAUUUAUUUUAUCUGGCAACCCUACACAUACCUCAAGCUUGCUCUUGACUACAUGGAUAUCUGUCUCACACUCCCAGAACCCCACUCACAGAUACCCCACACCAUGGACCACACACCAACUCCAACCCAGCUCAACUCUGCUAGUAUCUAAACAAGUGGAGAGAAAAACAGUGUUGGCGUCAUCCUACUCCAUUUCACCUUCUGAAUGUCCUCAUUUCUUUUUUUUCUUUUCUUUUUUUUUUUUUUUUUUUUUUUUGACUGAGUUUCGCUCUUGUUGCCCCCCUGCUGGAGUAAAAUGGCCUGAUCUCAGCAGCUCACCACAACCUCAGCCUCCCAGGUUCAAAUGAUUCUCCUGCCUCAGCCUCCCAAAUAGCUGGGAUUACAGGCAGGCACCAACAUGCCCGGCUAAUUUUGUGUUUUUAGUAGAGAGGAGGUUUCUCCAUGUUGGUCAGGCUGGUCUCAAACUCCCUACCUCAGGUGAUCCACCCGCCUCGGCCUCCCAAAGUGCUGGGACUACAGGCGUGAGCCACCCUGCCCGGCCUGAAUGUCCUCGUUUCUAAAACAGCAAAUGGGAACCAGUAGCUUCCUUCCUUGCCAGCACUCCCCUGGCUCCCCAGGCUUUGGUCAGGGUGAGACUAGCCAGGGCACUUGCUGCCCAAAUUUCCUGCUUCAGAGAAGUUCUACCAAGCAGCUACAGCAGCCAGCCCUUGCCUCUGCCUGGCCUUGCUGCACGUUCACUGCUACUGAGACCUACACUGGGGAAGGGGAGUACAGAAUCCCCAGCUUCUGCUCUGCAGGGUUGGGGAGGGAGAAUCCAGACCCUUCACAUACAUACUUUUUACAGGAGCGGAAACUGAGGUCCAGGAGAUCAUGUUACUUGUCAGGCUUUUGAGGGGCGCUAAGCUGGGUUGGACCUACGUGUCCGGGUUCCUAGCCCAGAACCCCUCUGUUUAUCCAAAUAGCUGUUUCUCUAACCGAGCUCCUCUCUGUAUAGAGGGAUUUCUAGUAGCCUCUCCUCCCUUCCAAGGUUCUGGGCCAGUUUGUUUUCAACAGUGUCAGGAGUAAGUGCACUGGGGACUGGGAGAAGGGCCACCGCGGGAUUCGGAAUUUAUUUCGUUUUCUUUGCUUCUUCUGUGACCCUUACUUCUUUCGCCUACCGGCUCAGCCUGUUCGGCGUCUUGCAGCAGUGCCUGCGAUCCCGCGUGAGUCCGUCGCUCCCUCCGCGAAAACCUGGACUCUUUCCCAGAAGCCUUGGGCUCCAGCACCAUGCCUGCUGCAGCCGCCAAAGAGCGGGAAGCCACAGGCUCUGCGGGUCUUGGUUACAGCGUCUCUGGUCGUGCCGGGCCUCCUUCUGCAUCUGUUCCACGGCCCGGCCAUCUCCCUCGUGCAGCCCAGAACAAUUGGGAGGAAGCGUUGGCGGGCGGAGGGGGAUGCCUGUUGGGCUUUUCCACUAGUUACUGAGUGUUUUUUGCGAAGAGUACGUUGCUAUCAGUGGCGUCCGGGUCGUCUCUCCCUCUCUUCCUUUUGGUCCCCAUAAAUGAGCUGUUCUCGGCUCUGGGAAAGAAAAGCCCUCCAGCGAUUAUGCGGAUCUAAUUAAGUCAAUCAGGAAACUGCCGGAGAGCGGCACUGGCUUGAAGCGGAGUUUGUCCUGAGGCACAGCGGAACGAUUGCACGCGGCCCUUUUCAGCGGUUCGAGCUCGGCCAGCGCCGGGCUGCAAACGGAAGCCUGAGCUGGGCUUGGGGAACUACGCCCGCAGAUUUCUCUAAUUUUAUUCACAAAACUGGACACCCUCAGGGAAAGCGGCAAAGCCGGCGCGAGCCUCCUUCCCACUCUGGACCUAGCUGCAGCUCCAAAGCGAGAUAGCUGUCUAGCCUCAGCCGGUACAGCUCCCGGCCCCUUUCUCCACCCGGAUCUUCGGCUGCUCAGAAGCGAUCAGCUCCCUUAGCCCAGGUGGGAGGCGGGAGACUCCAGAUCCUGUGACCCGCGGAGGCAGACCUCAGACAUGUUCCCCAUGCACAGAAAUGACUGGGGCUCCAGUGUGUGCACCUUCAACUCUGAAGCCCACCUGCCCACUUCAGGCGCUGGCGCGGAGAUAACCACCACGCGUCUGCCGGGCAAAGUUCGAGAGUGAAUUUACAUCUUCUCUUUCCGCUACUCCUGGCCACUGUCCCCUCCCAGCCCCAUCUCCCCCGCCCCCAACCCUGGACUAUGUGGUAGGGGACUCGCUUAAGCACCCAAGUACUGCGCGGUUGUUGAGACCAAGGCGAGCUGCGGAGCCUGUGGGCUGUUGUUCGUGGGAAGAGGGUUGCGACCUCAGGAGAGACCGAAAACAGCGCCACUUGAAACCCGCCGGUCCUGAAGAUCACAGAGUUCCCGGAGUGGUAGGGAAGGCUCCACGCUCUUGAGAGCAGAGGCGGCCAGGGGCAGUGGGGGACGCUUCCAGGUAUGUGGGAAGGAGAACUUCAUGUCUAAGUGCGCUCUUGUGGGUUUCUCGGCCAGCUGGGCCGAGCCUCUCUUUCUCUGUCCUCAUGUGUCUGUCCUCUGGACAACAGUGGCUCUGUAUGGCGGAUUGCGACCCUGAGUGACGGGCGCCUGUCUUGCAUCCUGUGUCCUGUGUCCUCCCCUCCAGACCUCAUGCUUGGUGUCCACAGAGUGGACCCAGGACUGCCUGGAAGGCUUAUCAUCCAGGCCCGCGACUUCCCCCCAGAGUCUGAAGCCUUGCGACCUGGUCGGGGACGACAAACCUGCUCGGGGUCAACAGCGAGACCCUAGUGGGGAAUGAGGAUGGGUGAGGGUGCGCCUGGGUUGAGGGUCUGUGACUGUAGCAUGGAAAAGGAGUUCAUGCAGGGAUCGCACUGAGGGACAGCCAAGAAUACUCCAGCGGCAGCCUCCCUCCUACCAAUUACACGCCGCCUGCUGGCACAGUGGCACCUCGGGAACAGGACGCCCUUCCGGGCCCUGAAUUGGGGCAGCGCAGGAGGGAGGGUGCAGAGCCAUAGCGACCUGUGUGUACCAUAGACAUGCACAUGCGCUCACCUUCACGUGUAACCCUUCUGAGUCCCAGACAGGGUAACUGGCGAGGCCGUAAGUACCCUCGUGGGGGCGGAAAUAUUGCCGCGUCCCUGAGUCCUCUGGGCAGAUGCAGAGCCGCGUAAGCCUCAUAGAAGCAAAGCCAGGGGAACAGUGGGAGCUCUGGCCUCGCGGUGCGGACGCUAGUAAUGGAUUCCUGGGGAACAGCGACCUCUGGAGGAGCCUCUCAUCCACACAGAGUCAGGAACUAAAGGACUGGUUCUGAGACAAAGCACCCUUUCCUCACCCUACUCCCAUUCCACCCGCUUGGAAAAGUUAUCCAGAGACUUUUAACCUCCGGACUCCACUCUUCGCUUAUGUUUGCUUUUUUUUCCAACCUGUACCCACGCUUCAAAAUCCCUGCUCCAGUCCUGCCUCUUCCAGAAAGAAGCCUUCUGGCCAGCCCAGUUCCUCUUCCCCUCUUCCUGUUCUGAGCUCAUUCUCAGGCCACACUGCACAGCCAACCUGCUUCCUGCCUGCUCUUCUCCAAAAAGACUGUGAAUCCACUCCACCCACGCCUUGUGUUGCAUGCUGGGCAUGCCGUUCCCUGCCCCAACCCACCCCACCCCCCAGUGAAUAAAGACUGAAGUUAUUCAUUCCA